CACGUAGGGUGCGAGCGUUGUCCGGAAUUAUUGGGCGUAAAGAGCUCGUAGGCGGUGUGUCGCGUCGGCCGUGAAAACCUGCAGCUUAACUGUGGGCUUGCGGUCGAUACGGGCAUCACUGGAGUUCGGCAGGGGAGACUGGAAUUCCCGGUGUAGCGGUGAAAUGCGCAGAUAUCGGGAAGAACACCCGUGGCGAAGGCGGCUCUCUGGGACGGUACUGACGCUGAGACGCGAAAG
rnacentral:rRNA from 1 species